rnacentral:rRNA from 1 species
GACGAACGCUGGCGGCGUGCUUAACACAUGCAAGUCGAACGGAAAGGCCCUGCUUUUGUGGGGUGCUCGAGUGGCGAACGGGUGAGUAACACGUGAGUAGCCUGCCCUUGACUUUGGGAUAACUUCAGGAAACUGGGGCUAAUACCGGAUAGGAGCUCCUGCUGCAUGGUGGGGGUUGGAAAGUUUCGGCGGUUGGGGAUGGACUCGCGGCUUAUCAGCUUGUUGGUGGGGUAGUGGCUUACCAAGGCUUUGACGGGUAGCCGGCCUGAGAGGGUGACCGGCCACAUUGGGACUGAGAUACGGCCCAGACUCCUACGGGAGGCAGCAGUGGGGAAUAUUGCACAAUGGGCGGAAGCCUGAUGCAGCAACGCCGCGUGCGGGAUGAUGGCCUUCGGGUUGUAAACCGCUUUCGCCUGUGACGAAGCGUGAGUGACGGUAAUGGGUAAAGAAGCACCGGCUAACUAC